rnacentral:tRNA from 1 species
AAAGCUUUAACUUAAUUAAAGUAUCUGUUUUGCAUAUAGAAGAUGUGGAUUAGAAGUUCACAAGUUUUA